UUUCACAGCAACAUGGAUGAAAUCAGGAGCUCAGUGCCUCAAGGAUUAAAUCUAUGGUGUAUCUGCUCUUCUAAAGAACUCUGCCAAUAAGUUACUUUCGAAGGUCAACACCUUAAAAUAACAGAGCAAACAGAAUUCCUAUGAUGCUUUACAAAGAGGUAAUCAGAUAAAAAGCAGAGGGAGUGGCAAAAUAUCCAAUAAAAAAGUUAAAGUUAAAGUUGUUGAAAGUAAAUUCGUUGUCUGUGAUGUAUCGCGGCAUGCGAUGAUGUCACACCCGGUUUCGCCGCGUCUUGUGGGAAAAUACCGGUUUGGAGGAACGGGAAGGAGGGGACUUGCGUGUGAAGGAUCAGCACAAGAAAAGUUUUCAUUCUACGCACUAAGAAACAUCAUAGAAGCAACGCUGUAAGUUCAUAAGAUAAUCGAUAUGUUGAAGUAAAAAUGUUAAUGCUGACUCUGUUAAAAGUAAUGACGGUUGAUAAAGUUUAUUUUCUUGUGUUAUUGAAAGCGUUGCUGGAUAGUUUGUUUAAGUGUAUUUAAAUCCAGUUGAUGGCAUAGGUAGAUUCUAACUGUGUUGUACUUUAAUGUAAUAUAGUUUGUUGUAGUUUUACUUUUACAAGUAUUUAUGAUGUAAACGUGAUGUCAAGAAGGAAACAAAUACUGUAUAUAUUUCGUAUUGUUUUAUCAACAGUUUUCACCAUACGUUAAUGUGGAAGAGUGAACAGUAAACGGUUAAUCUUACUGGGAUUGUGCCUC